CGACCGGCGCACGGGUGCGUAACGCGUAUGCAACCUACCUGUAACAGGGGGAUAACACUGAGAAAUCGGUACUAAUACCGCAUAACACUAUGAGAGGCAUCUCUUGUGGUUGAAAGUUUCGGCGGUUACAGAUGGGCAUGCGUUGUAUUAGCUGGUUGGUAAGGUAACGGCUUACCAAGGCGACGAUACAUAGGGGGACUGAGAGGUUAACCCCCCACAUUGGUACUGAGACACGGACCAGACUCCUACGGGAGGCAGCAG
rnacentral:rRNA from 1 species